rnacentral:rRNA from 1 species
CAGCAGCCGCGGGAAUACAGAGGGUGCGAGCGUUAAUCGGAUUUACUGGGCGUAAAGCGUGCGUAGGCGGCUAAUUGAGUCGGAUGUGAAAUCCCCGAGCUUAACUUGGGAAUUGCAUUCGAUACUGGUUAGCUAGAGUGUGGGAGAGGAUGGUAGAAUUACAGGUGUAGCGGUGAAAUGCGUAGAGAUCUGGAGGAAUACCGAUGGCGAAGGCAGCCAUCUGGCCUAACACUGACGCUGAGGUACGAAAGCAUGGGGAGCAAACAGGAUUAGAUACCCCGGUAGUCCCUGUCUCUUAUAC